AGCCGAGUGAAUAUACAGGUUACGCAGCUGAAACAAUCGAAACACCAGGACAAAUCAACAACGAUGGCUCAUUGAUGCGCUAGAUUCCUUUUUCACCUAUGGUUGCUGCUGUUGCUCGCCAUGAACUCAUCAGACAGGCCUGAGCAAACAGAGACACUGGGCAAUACAAGUGCUACUGCCUUGGAGCAGUCUACCACCUCCAGACAAGAUGACUGUGGAGACACUCCAGGCAGCAACAAGAGGACACUCCGCAACUCAAUCAUGAGAAAGAUAGCCAGGCUGGAAGACCAGAGGAGGGCGAUGGCCGGAACAGCGCUCUCCGAGGACGAGGAGAAGCGCUGGCUCUACGAGCAGAUGGCGGCUCUGCAGCAGAAG